rnacentral:rRNA from 1 species
AACAGAGUCCCCAAGCGUUAUCCGGAUUUACUGGGCGUAAAGGGCGCGUAGGCGCUCCGUUAAGUUCUCCGUUAAAGCUCUAGGGCUCAACCUUAGAAGUGCGGAGAAUACUGGCGGAGUUGAGGACGCUAGGGGUUGGCGGAACGCACGGUGGAGGGGUGAAAUCCGUUGAUAUCGUGCGGAACACCGAAAGCGAAGGCAGCCAACUGGAGCGAUCCUGACGCUGAGGCGCGAAAGCGUGGGGAGCAAAAAGG